CCUACGGGAUGCUGCAGUGGGGAAUAUUGCGCAAUGGGCGAAAGCCUGACGCAGCGACGCCGCGUGAAGGAAGAAGGCUUUCGGGUUGUAAACUUCUUUUAAGGGGGAAGAGCAGAAGACGGUACCCCUUGAAUAAGCCACGGCUAACUACGUGCCAGCAGCCGCGGUAAUACGUAGGUGGCAAGCGUUGUCCGGAUUUACUGGGUGUAAAGGGCGUGCAGCCGGAGAGACAAGUCAGAUGUGAAAUCCACGGGCUCAACCCGUGAACUGCAUUUGAAACUGUUUCCCUUGAGUGUCGGAGAGGUAAUCGGAAUUCCUUGUGUAGCGGUGAAAUGCGUAGAUAUAAGGAAGAACACCAGUGGCGAAGGCGGAUUACUGGACGAUAACUGACGGUGAGGCGCGAAAGCGUGGGGAGCAAACAGGAUUAGAUACCCUUGUAGUC
rnacentral:rRNA from 1 species